CGUCUACAUCAUGUUGAAACACCUGUUCUCGUACGAUCUCCGAAAUUAAGUAACAUCGAGCCUGGUCAAUACCUAGAUGGGUGACCGCUUAAGUAUACAAGGUACUGUAAG